CCUACGGGGGGCAGCAGUGGGGGAUAUUGCACAAUGGGGGAAACCCUGAUGCAGCGACGCCGCGUGAGCGAUGAAGUAUUUCGGUAUGUAAAGCUCUAUCAGCAGGGAAGAAAAUGACGGUACCUGACUAAGAAGCCCCGGCUAACUACGUGCCAGCAGCCGCGGUAAUACGUAGGGGGCAAGCGUUAUCCGGAUUUACUGGGUGUAAAGGGAGCGUAGACGGCGGUGCAAGUCUGAAGUGAAAGGCCGGGGCUCAACCCUUGGACUGCUUUUGAAACUGUGCUGCUGGAGUGUCGGAGAGGCAAGCGGAAUUCCUAGUGUAGCGGUGAAAUGCGUAGAUAUUAGGAGGAACACCAGUGGCGAAGGCGGCUUGCUGGACGAUGACUGACGUUGAGGCUCGAAAGCGUGGGGAGCAAACAGGAUUAGAUACCCGAGUAGUC
rnacentral:rRNA from 1 species